GCUCAGCAGCUCAGUGGGUUAGAGCGUCGGCGUACAAAUCUGGAGGUCGUGGGUUCAAAUCCUGCAAGCC
rnacentral:tRNA from 1 species